UUCGCGGAGUUGCCGGAGGGUGCGGCCGCCCAGAGCGCACCCCGAGCGCCGGCGAGCGGCGCGGUGAGACCCUCGUGCAGUAGAGACGGAGUUUCACCAUGUUGGCCAGGAUGGUCUUCAACUUCUAACUUCGUGAUCCACGCUGCUGGGAUUACAGGUGUGAGCCACCGCGUGUGGCCUCUGGGCACCUUUUGAAGAUGUUAGGAAAGACGUGCUGCUGACUUUGCAAACGGAGGUGCUGAAACCGGGUGUCUGGAGCUCAGAGAAGAGGUGGCGCUGGACUGGCCUAGACUCUGUGCAGACACAGAAGAGCCAGGGCCUGGGGCUCCCAUCGAGGAGGAGGACAAAGGGCCCUGGCCAGGGCAAGGCUGGAGUGCAGUGGCGAGAUCUCGGCUCACCGCAACCUCCGCCUCCCGGGUUCAAGCGAUUCUCCUGCCUCAGCCUCCCGUGUAGCUGGGAUUACAGGUUAUGAUUCCACUGACAACCAGGCCGGGCCAGCGUGGGGCGGAGGUCCUAGAGCCAGCAGGCCCCACCUGGGUAUCAUCUAUGCAGCCAGGAGAUGCCCAAGAGCCAGGUGUCCAGAAGCCGCCCCUGUGUGGACAGCACAGCUGGGGAAGACAGAGGGCUGGGGGAGCCCCACGUCCUCAGUUCCUUCCUCUGCCGCCUCCCUCCC
rnacentral:lncRNA from 1 species